GAUGAACGCUGGCGGCAUGCUUUACACAUGCAAGUCGGACGGACAGUCGUGUUUCCAGUUGCGGACGGGUUAGUAACGCGUAAGAACCUGCCCUUUGGAGGACCACCACAUCUGGCAACGGCUGCUAAUACCCCGUAGGCUUAGUAGCGAAAGGAGUAAUCCGCCCGAGGGUGGGCUCGCGUCUGAUUAGCUAGUUGUUGAGGUUAUAGCUGACCAGGGCCGUGAUCCGUAGACGGUCCGAGAGGAAGAUCAGCCACACUGGGACUGAGACAAGCACCAGACUACCACCGGAAGUAGCAGUAGGGAAGACGGAGCAAUGCGCCAAAGGCUAAGAGGGCAAUGCCGUGGUAAGAUAAAAGGAUUAGGGGUGAAGAAAUUCGUAAGUAAGAGAAGAAACAAUGACGGUAUCUGGGCAAUAAGCAUCGGCUAACUACGUG
rnacentral:rRNA from 1 species